UUUAUUCAACAAAAACAAUAACAACACAUAACAAAAACAUCUUUAAAUGAUUAUUCUGGAGUAUAUUCAUGAUCUACUUCAGUUACUGCUUCCCAUUCGCUUGGCAGAUGGUCAGACCAUCAUUUAAAGAUGUUUUCGUGAAAUUCUGUUAUUGUUUUCAUUAGCUGUUGGAAAGGGCAGCAA